UACGAAGGGGGCUAGCGUUGCUCGGAAUGACUGGGCGUAAAGGGCGCGUAGGCGGAUGGCACAGUCAGAUGUGAAAUUCCCGGGCUUAACCUGGGGGGCUGCAUUUGAUACGUGUGAUCUAGAGUGAGGAAGAGGGUCGUGGAAUUCCCAGUGUAGAGGUGAAAUUCGUAGAUAUCGGGAGGAACACCGGUGGCGAAGGCGGCGAUCUGGGGUCGAUACUGACGCUGAGGUGCGAAAGCGUGGGGAGCAAACAGG
rnacentral:rRNA from 1 species